AUUGAACGCUGGCGGCAGGCCUAACACAUGCAAGUCGAGCGAGCGGCGGACGGGUGAGUAAUGUCUGGGAAACUGUCUGUUGGCGGGGGAUAACUACUGGAAACGGUAUCUAAUACCGCAUACCAUCAGAUGUGCCCAGAUGGGAUUAGCUCGUAGGUGGGGUAACGGCUCACCUAGGCGACGAUCCCUAGCUGGUCUGAGAGGAUGACCAGCCACACUGGAACUGAGACACGGCCCAGACUCCUACGGGAGGCAGCAGUGGGGAAUAUUGGACAAUGGGCGAAAGCCUGAUGCAGCCAUGCCGCGUGUGUGAAGAAGGCCUUCGGGUUGUAAAGCACUGUCAGCAGGGAGGCGUUACCCACAGAAGAAGCACCGGCUAACUCCGUGCCAGCAGCCGCGGUAAUAC
rnacentral:rRNA from 1 species